rnacentral:rRNA from 1 species
AUGAACGCUGGCGGCGUGCCUCAUACAUGCAAGUCGAGCGAACGGACGAGAAGCUUGCUUCUCUGAUGUUAGCGGCGGACGGGUGAGUAACCCGUGGAUAACCUACCUAUAAGUCUGGGAUAACUUCGGGAAACCGGAGCUAAUACCGGAUAAUAUUUUGAACCGCAUGGUUCAAAAGUGAAAGACGGUCUUGCUGUCACUUAUAGAUGGAUCCGCGCUGCAUUAGCUAGUUGGUAAGGUAACGGCUUACCAAGGCAACGAUGCAUAGCCGACCUGAGAGGGUGAUCGGCCACACGGGAACUGAGACACGGUCCAGACUCCUACGGGAGGCAGCAGUAGGGAAUCUUCCGCAAUGGGCGAAAGCCUGACGGAGCAACGCCGCGUGAGUGAUGAAGGUCUUCGGAUCGUAAAACUCUGUUAUUAGGGAAGAACAUAUGUGUAAGUAACUGUGCACAUCUUGACGGUACCUAAUCAGAAAGCCACGGCUAACUACGUG